rnacentral:antisense_RNA from 1 species
UGUGGGAGCUGGCUUGCCAGCGAUGAGGUCAUUUCAUUCAGCAUUGAUGUUGAAUGAUUCACCGCCAUCGCUGGCAAGCCAGCUCCCACA